rnacentral:lncRNA from 1 species
UCCCAAAGUGCUGGGAUUACAGCCAUUAGAACCUGUAUCUUUAGCAGGCACCCCAGGUGACACUUGUGCUGAGCAUGUUAGAGACACUGGCCAGAAGGUGGAGGGAAGGUGGGAGUGGCAGCUCCUCCUUCACUGUGGAGGAAAUGUCUGUUCUCUCUUUGUGAAGCCCUGAUUACCUCCCACCUCCCACAGCCAGGUCUGGCCACACAGCAGUACAGCCACUAGCGUGGGCCCAGUAAGUGCCCGGCUUGGCAGUAAAUGGACCCAGUAAGUGGGUCCGUCAUGUUGUACUUGGCACCCAGCAAGCUGCCCACAUCAUUUGGUAUUCUCAACUGUGGAAAUACCCAGAAGAUGUUAGGAAAAUGUUGACCUUGCUCAAACUCAACAGGGCUGGGUCCUGAACUUCACCUGAACGUCACAGGGUGUCCCUGCCCACCAACAUUCAGCUGCUGUUGACUCUUUUUUGCUUAGAGACUCGGUGAGUCUCUGUGGUGUUUUGUAUCCUUACCUCCAAUCUCCCAAGAAAGUAGAGAUGCUAUCCAAGGGCUGAUGAUAUGCAGGUGGUCAUUCAAAGAUGUGCACCUGAAUUCUCACUCAUCUUGCACCAAUAAGGUUUAUGCAACCUGCUGCAGUGAGUCACGCCACUCCCACCCCUGCCCCACCCCCACAAGCCCAGGAGAUAUAGAGAGGCUAAACACCAGAGCUUGCAAAACAGAGUGCAGUUUAAACAGGAUCUUGCAUCCUAAACAAAAAUGUUCCAGCUCCACCCCAUGUAAUUUUGUGACGAGUAGUUUAGGGAGAUUCCCUUCAAAGAAGUUCCAGAAACUGGAGGGAAAUUUGAGAGGUCAGAAGACGGGGGAAGAGGACGAAGGGCUGUUUUUGCCGGAAAGUUCUUUUGCAGGGCAAUCAUGACUGUAAAACAGAGAGGAAGGAUAAUUCAGUCUCAUGCAGCAGGCGUGGAGCCCGUGAGCCCUCUUUGUCCUACAUUGAACCAAGGGGUGGGGUGGGGACUCAGGUGCCAACCCGGCUCGCACACACACUGGUGGGCUCUGUUUUUGAAUCCAUAAAAAUGGGAGGAAAGUGUCCUUUCUACUCCCUGCACGGGGAGAUGGGAGGAAAGUGUCCUUUCUACUCCCUGCACGGGGGAGAUGGGAGGAAAGUGUCCUUUCUACUCCCUGCACGGGGAGAUGGGAGGAAAGUGUCCUUUCUACUCCCUGCACGGGGAGAUGAGAGGACUGGCGUGGAUGAAGCUGGCUUCCCCGGCAUCACCAGGCCACCAUCCAGGCCAGCCCAGUGACGGGCCAGGAGCCAGAACCUUCCCUCUCCAGGCGUUGGAUUUUAUUGGGAGACCCAGCUGGAGGAGCAGGAGGACUUGAUGGGCAUGAACGCUAUCCUGAGAUUCCUGGAACAGAUGUAGUGUCAUAUGAAAGUAGCUGUGAUUUCUAACUGGUGACCAAGUACCAGGAUUUGUUGCCAUUUAUAACCCCCUGGGUGCUAUCAGAUGUGCUGAAUGCUGGAAGAAUCAAUACUCUAAUCUUUGGUUCCAGAGAAUCUGACUCAGGUUCAUGAAAAAUCGGAACUUUCUCUGGUGCGAGCUUUGCUUAUAACUUUGGCAUAGGGGACCAGGAAAGUCUCACGGAUGCAAAGAGACAUCGAAUGUUUUCAGUUCAUCCACGUCGGAGUGUGGGCCAGCACUUCAUCCCUUGCCAUGGCUGAGGAAUAGUCCAUCACGUGGACAGACAACAAUUUAUUUCUCCAUGCAUCAGGUGACAGACAUUUGGGUGGUUCCCACCUGACUCACUUCAUGAAAGAAUAUCUCUGGGCCCCAUGUGGAGGCUCAAAAGAGCAGAGCUGGGAGACCAGGGAGGAUGUAGCUGCAGGAAUCCCAGGAAUGCAGGUGAGGGCUGGAGGCGGUUGCCCUGCAGGAGCCGAGUGACGAUGACCUGUGGAUGAGCAGCCUGGGAUGCCCCUGUCCCCAGCCUCUUCAACCUGACACAAGUUUGCAUUCUAUGCUCUCUUUCUUUGGAACAAGGAUUGACUCCUAAGUGGCAUCUGGAGAAGGCCGAGCUUCCUGCAGGGACCUGAAGAGGGUUUUUAGAAACAGAAACGGAGUCAUCAGAUUGCUCACAGUGGCCAAAUCUUGCCCUAAAGUCAAAGCUCUGAAGCACUGCACUAAAGAGCUCUUGGAACACCCGUGGAUUCCCAAGGAAAGGAAUGGAUAAAGUUAAGCCAUGAUGACCUUGUUGAAUCCAGCCAUUCUGCAAGUGCCUGUUUUGACUUUAGGGAUGGAAGUCCUUCCAGGCAUGCCAAGAGGGAAGGAAACAUGGCAGGUGCACUGGCUUUGAAGUUGCCGUGGUGGUUGCAAUCCUGCAUCUGUCUGUUCCUGAUGGGGUGAC